GUGGCGAACGGGUGAGUAACACGUGAGCAAUCUGCCCUUGACUCUGGGAUAACUGCGGGAAACUGUAGCUAAUACCGGAUAUUACCUUGGAAGGCAUCUUCUGGGGUGGAAAGAAUUUUGGUCAAGGAUGAGCUCGCGGCCUAUCAGCUAGUUGGUGAGGUAAUGGCCCACCAAGGCGACGACGGGUAGCCGGCCUGAGAGGGUGACCGGCCACACUGGGACUGAGACACGGCCCAGACUCCUACGGGAGGCAGCAGUGGGGAAUAUUGCACAAUGGGCGCAAGCCUGAUGCAGCAACGCCGCGUGAGGGACGAAGGCCUUCGGGUUGUAAACCUCUUUUAGUAGGGAAGAAGCGACUGGGUUUUCCUGGAAGUGACGGUACCUGCAGAAAAAGCACCGGCUAACUACGUGCCAGCAGCCGCGGUAAUACGUAGGGUGCAAGCGUUGUCCGGAAUUAUUGGGCGUAAAGAGCUCGUAGGCGGUUUGUCGCGUCUGCUGUGAAAACCCGAGGCUCAACCUCGGGCCUGCAGUGGGUACGGGCAGACUAGAGUGCGGUAGGGGAGAUUGGAAUUCCUGGUGUAGCGGUGGAAU
rnacentral:rRNA from 1 species